CAAAUGUGGAAAGAUCUCUGACCCCGACGUGAUUUGAACACGCAACCUUUUGAUCUGGAGUUACUGCUCUGCAACGAGGUCCUGGUUACCUCAUAUUUUGCUCAGCUAAUUUUUACAACUUAAUUGUUUCCUGAAAUUGAACAGCAGAGUAAAUGUGAUAAGAAAUCUGACCCCGACGUGACUUGAACACGCAACCUUCUGAUCUGGACUCAGACGCGCUCUCGACGAGGUCCUGGUUGUCUAAUGUUUUGCUCAGCUAAUUUUUACAACUAGAUUGUGUCAAGAACUCGAAGAGCAGAGUAAAAGUGUAAAAAAAAAAAAAAAAA